rnacentral:lncRNA from 1 species
UUCCUUGGUUUGAAGUCUUGAGGUGCGGUAUCCUCGAGCAGGUUGAAGUGUUGUAGAGUGUAUAUCUACGAGCAAGUGUAACGGUUUGUUAGGCACCCGUAAGCUUAACGAAGUUAGUGUAAAACUCGAGAGAGUCUCUCGGGGACUGGACUAACCACACGUUGUGGUGAACCAGGAUAAAAUUCGGUGUGUUCUCUCCUUA